GGAGGAGCAGGAACUAGCAGUAGUUUCACUUUGUCAAAAGGAGGACUGCAGCUCACCUGUGGACUCCACCAUGAUUGUUUGACUAUAAAAAGAGAAACUGUGUCUCUGCUGCUCCGAACUAUUCACACUUGAAUGAGAACAUGAAGUGACGCUGCAGUGGAUCUUCCCUCAUCCUUAAAGUGCAGCUGUGGAUAAUCUGUUGAAGAACCCACAUAUUUCAUGUCAUCUGGUGGAGCUUUAUCAAAGAUGUGUCAGCUUCAGUGUGAAAUAUGAUGCUGUUGACUAAAUCACAAGAAACCCAAGACCCAGCCUGUUUGUUUGAGGGAUAAUUAGAUGCCAACUGAAUCAGAGUAAACUCAGCUUCUCUGGGAUCUUUACAAAAUAAGCUCAUUAUGAGACUCUGAUGUUGAAACCCACAGAAAAGAGAAGAUGGAUGCUGUGAAAAUAUCCUGCUGGACUCUGGAGUGUGUCUGCCUCCUGCUGUCUGUAACUGCAGAUCAGAAAAUCAUCACAGCCGAGUCUGGACAGAACAUCACGCUGCCGUGUCGAGCUCCAAAUGAGAACAAAACCAUCACAGUAGUAGAGUGGAGCAGAACUGAUCUGGAGUCAGAACAUGUGCUUUUGUACCGAGAUGAACAGUUUGAACCAGAAGAGCAGCAUCCAUCUUUUAAGAACCGGGUGGAUCUGCAGGACAGACAGAUGAAGGAUGGAGACGUGUCUCUGAUUCUGAAGAAUGUGACGACUGCUGAUAGUGGAACAUACGAGUGUCGAGUCUUCAUGGGAAAAAAACGACGCAGGAAAAGAGCUAAGCUGAAUACUGACCCCAUCAGUGUCAUCAGCCUGAGUGUUGUUGUUCCUCCAGGUCAGACAAGAAGAUCUGUUGGAGUGAUGCUCAGUGUGUCACUUCUUGUUGCUGCUGUCAUUGGUUUUCUGAUCUACAAACAAGGAUCACCAACCUUGUCCUUGAACUGUCUCAGAGGUGUUCCAGCUAAUUCGUGAGCCUCCUGCUGCUGUUUCAGCUUCUCAGAGGUGACACAGAUCAUCCAGUGGAGAGACAGACGAGGACAUCCUGAAUUUGUUGUUCAGCAUCUUUGUGAAAGUCUUGAACAUUUUCCUUUGGACAUGUUGGACUUUAACUAAAGAUGCUUUCAGUCCAAAAGUCUUUUUCUUCCUGUUGUUUGGUGCAAAGCGUCGACGAUCGUCUAGAAAACAUUUUCAUCUUUAAUCCUGGUUUCAGGUGAAAGUUUGUCUUUAGCUCCUCACUGUCCUGAUGAGCUGCAUGAACACCAGCUGGAAGUCAGUUUGUUAAUGAGAAGUUUGGACUCUUUUUCUUUUAUAUAAACAUAUAAAACAUGUAAAUUACAGACGUGUCCUGUUUCCACUGUGAGUGUAGCUGUUAGCUCGUGACCUCCUGCUGAGCUGAAGCCUCAGACUGUUUCUGUAGUUUAAAUAGACGAGACAUCAUUCAUACAUCUGUGCGUGUUCAUUGUAUGCAGCUUUUAUUUAUGUCAGUUUGAGCACUGCAUGAACUGUGAAACUCUUUAUUUAUAUUACAGAUUUUAUUCUUUUAUGUUAUUAUUAAUGAUAAAAUGAGUGAGUUUUUCUGUACAGAUGAAUUUUCUUUGAUCAAAAACUUUGUGAGCUGAGUCUGAUGUUGUUUCCUGAGCAUGUCUCCUCCACUCUGCUCUUUCUACUGAGAAUGUGUUUAAUCAGUUUUUUGUUUCCAAUGUUUUUGACUGUAAAUAAAGUGUCUUCAGAUGUCUGCUGUUGUGUCCUGAAUAAUCUGAUCUGGAAUCAAUAAACAGUGA
ensembl:lncRNA